rnacentral:rRNA from 1 species
CGGCCGCGUCGACGGGAGCUUGCUCCCUGAUUCAGCGGCGGACGGGUGAGUAAUGCCUAGGAAUCUGCCUGGUAGUGGGGGACAACGUUUCGAAAGGAACGCUAAUACCGCAUACGUCCUACGGGAGAAAGCAGGGGACCUUCGGGCCUUGCGCUAUCAGAUGAGCCUAGGUCGGAUUAGCUAGAUGGUGGGGUAAAGGCCUACCAUGGCGACGAUCUGUAGCUGGUCUGAGAGGAUGAUCAGCCACACCGGGACUGAGACACGGCCCGGACUCCUACGGGAGGCAGCAGUGGGGAAUAUUGGACAAUGGGGGCAACCCUGAUCCAGCCAUGCCGUCGACGCGGCCG